CCCAAAAAAGCUGAGGAGGAAGCAGAUGCCCUGACUGGCUUAGAGCCCAUGAACCCCUUCUUGGCUUGAGUCAGCCAUCCUCUCUGUGUAGAAUGGGUUGUAAGACCAACUCUUGGUUGCCCAGUCCUGGUCAGUAGAUAAGGUUCUUCACUGAUGUUGCUGGGGUGUAUUCAUUACGCCGUUUCUGUUAGAACAGAAACGGCAAACGGAAAUGAACGUUUCUAUUGGACAAAUUCAGAUAGGUCCUGCCCCGUUUUGUUUGCUUCCGUUUUGGUUCUCAAACGCUAAACGGUUUCCGUUUUGCAAGAUGUUGCAAGGCGUAAUGAAAUCAACCCUGAUGUGUGUCCACAGAGGAUGAGGCUGUGACUGGGCUGGCCCUGACCCCUCAGGAGCAGCUAAAACUCCACACACAGAAGCUGACAGACAGGAUGCUACGCAUCGCCAGUCUAGGAUCAGACAUCCUCUCAGAACCCACCAUCAAAAUCAAGAAGAGCUGUGAUCCAUGCUGAUGGAGACCGACCCCUACAUGGCCAUGACGGUCAGAAAGCUGGUCAUGUUCUCUCUGAUGGAGGUCUUCAAGGACAUCGUCCUCUCAUACAGGAUAAGACCCCUGACAGAGACAGAGAAAGCCUCAAAAGUGAAGAAAGAGACACAGCAGUUGAGGGAGUUUGAGAAGGGCUUGGUGAGCCAGUACAAGUUCUACCGGAGAACCUGGAGCAGGCAGUCAAAGGAUUAGCUGUAUGAACGCCCUGCCCUGUAGACUGGAAGCAGAAGAAGAGAAAGCGCAGCGAGGCGGUGUGUCUCUGCAGUCCUAUAAGGGCCUGGCUGAAGUGGCCAUCCACUGCAUCUGUGAGCUGCUGGUGGCCCUGCCACACUUCAACUUCCACAACAAACAAACACAUGUCUCGACGUGAUGCUGACCAAGCGUAGGAAACGGGUGAACCUGCAGCGCGCCUUAGCUUUCGUCAAGAGACUGAGCACACUCAGUCUGCACACCCUGCCCAACGCCACCGUGGGCAUCCUGGCAUCCAACAAGAUGUUGAUACAUACCUUCCCCAAGUGUAACAUCCUCCUGGACAAUGAGGCUCAGGGUAGUGGGGUGUUCCUUCCUGAGCUGGACGAGCCGGAGUACUGCAACCCUCAGAACACUGCCCUGUGGGAGCUACACACACUCAGGGUAAACACACAAAGCGAACACACACACAGAAAAACACACACACAGGUAUAGCUGAUGGCGUUGUUGUUAUUGCGUUGCAGAAACACUAUCACCCAGUAGUCAGGUUUGCCGCUCACCUCUGUGCAGGGGCUCCUAGUGAAGAGGAGCCCAUCAAUUUAAAUCUCACCUUUCAUUCAUCCUCUAUAAAAAGCCCUUUUUGCUCCUCCAGCUCUUUUACAAAUACUCAUACAAGACUAGUCUUUCUCAACAGUGCUGAGAUAGGAGACGCUAACCAAAGACGUGUGCAUGUGCAGUAUAUAAAAAGCCCUAGCGUCUCUUGGGUGUAUUAUGAUUGAAUGGUGUACAUUACUUUUGACCCGUCUCGGGCACCCAGUGGAGCUGUUUGAGGACUACAGAGCUAAAGACAUGACCUUCAACCCUCCAGUGGCAGCGCCUUCCACAAAGAAGGAGGUACAUCCCUUCCCUCCCUGUCCAUGUAUCGACCUUGCCAAGGCUUUCGACUCUGUCAAUCGCUGCAUUCUUAUCAGCAGACUCAAUAGCCUUGGUUUCUCAAAUAAAUGCCUCGCCUGGUUUACCAACUACU